CCUGCCUGUUCAGACUGUGUCUGUCGGAAUGAACACAUUCAGAAUCUGGAUCUCCGCUGACAAGGUCCUGGGGGGAUAAUCACAACGCCUGACGGAGUUGCCAGGACUCACUGAAUUAAUCCGAGCAGGGCACUUAGAACGGCAUGGAUGUGCAGCACGUGCUCGGACACAUCGGCUGUGAAGAGAAGGCAUCCUAACCAGGAGCUCAUCUUGAAAACAGCUGGAAAACUCUCCAUCUCUGAUCAUUCGCACUGGAUAGCAACUCUACCAUGAACCUCAGAACUGGGGAAAGACUUAGCCCCACGGCAGCGUUACGGAUAAAGCCAGUUUAAGAACAAAUACACCUAGUUUGACCCAAUAGGUGUGGAUCGACUGGAAAGUACACUUUUGCACAAUGAUGCAUGAAAUAUUCAUCAAGGAAAUUUGGUUUUGAAAAGAAAUCUCAGCUGAACCUUUAUCAGGCAGGAGAACAACAGAAAGAAAAAGCAGGGGAGAAGACAAUAGAAAGCCAUCCUUAAUGUCAUGUUGCCAUGUUGUACUUUAUGGGUUCAUUUUAGAGAAAAAUAUACAUUCACUGUAAAAAAAAUUUGAGUAAAUAUAUAAAUAAGAGCUGGCACA